rnacentral:rRNA from 1 species
AACAAACGCUGGCGGCGUGCCUAACACAUGCAAGUCGUACGAGAAAGGGUCCUUCGGGGCCUGAGUAAAGUGGCGCACGGGUGAGUAACGCGUGGAUAAUCUGCCCUUCAGUUGGGAACAACUCAUCGAAAGGUGGGCUAAUACCGAAUAAUACUGCAAGACUUUGGUCGAGCAGUCAAAGAGAGCCUCUGCUUGCAAGCCCUCGCUGAAGGAUGAGUCCGCGUACCAUUAGCUUGUUGGUAGGGUAAUGGCCUACCAAGGCCACGAUCGGUAGCUGGUCUGAGAGGAUGAUCAGCCACACUGGGACUGAGACACGGCCCAGACUCCUACGGGUGGCAG